AUUGAACGCUGGCGGCAGGCCUAACACAUGCAAGUCGAGCGGAUGAAGGGAGCUUGCUCCUGGAUUCAGCGGCGGACGGGUGAGUAAUGCCUAGGAAUCUGCCUGGUAGUGGGGGAUAACGUCCGGAAACGGGCGCUAAUACCGCAUACGUCCUGAGGGAGAAAGUGGGGGAUCUUCGGACCUCACGCUAUCAGAUGAGCCUAGGUCGGAUUAGCUAGUUGGUGGGGUAAAGGCCUACCAAGGCGACGAUCCGUAACUGGUCUGAGAGGAUGAUCAGUCACACGGGAACUGAGACACGGUCCAGACUCCUACGGGAGGCAGCAGUGGGGAAUAUUGGACAAUGGGCGAAAGCCUGAUCCAGCCAUGCCGCGUGUGUGAAGAAGGUCUUCGGAUUGUAAAGAACUUUAAGUUGGGAGGAAGGGCAGUAAGUUAAUACCUUGCUGUUUUGACGUUACCAACAGAAUAAGCACCGGCUAACUUCGUG
rnacentral:rRNA from 1 species